rnacentral:lncRNA from 1 species
CGUGGCUCCAUGGCCAUUGGUGGACGGCUCGCGUCCCGGGCGCGCCCAUUGGCUGUGGGGGGCGUUCACGUGAAAAGGGUUCCGGGAUGGCUCCCCAAGUCGGGAGAGGUGCCGGAAAGUUAAAGGGGGCAGCGCGGCGGCCCGGAGCCUGAGUCCGGGUGACGGCCACGGGAAGGAGGCGAGCGGGCUGCUCUCGCGCACGGACGGAUGCGUCUGCCCGCCGAGGGCACAGACCUGAGUGCCGACCCCCACCCGUGCCGUCGCAGCCGCCUCUGCUCCUGCCACCUCCUCGCCGGUGCUGCCGCGGGCUGGUGCAUGUGUCCUGCGGCGCUUAUGAGCUGUACUAGGUACGUCAGUCCCCCAGCCUCGGGUCCCAGUGCAGGGCCGAGAAAGGGCGGCGAGGGCGCGCAGUGGAGACCUUCUUUGGUUCCUGCCACCUGCACCUGCACUGUCCAACUUGCAGUUGCACUACGGGGUUGGAACACGCUGGGCUCCCUUGAGGCUGUUCUUCCAGGUGGCGAGAGCAAUCCAGGCACCAGAGGUGGAUGGAGCCUGGCUGGAUCCACGAGUGCCACUGAAGUGCGGGUCUGGCUGCGAGGGGUGGCCGGGGCUGGGACUCUUGUGAAGAGUUCGAACCUGGGACGAGGCGCUUCCAGCCUGGGACCCGACAGUCCCGGAGGGUGUCUCCGAAGUUGGGCAGUGGGGACUGGAGUACAAAGGAAAAGUCUCUCCUUUCCCGGCGCCUCGGUUUGCCGGUGCAAGGAAACACACAUGGGCCGUUUCUCAGGUCGCCGAGUUGCGAUGGGACACAGAGCCGCCCCGGUCCCCGGUCCCCAGGCAGGGGCUGUCCCGGGCCGGCGGAGGAGAGGCUGCCGCGCGGGGACGCUCGCGCGGCGCCACUCAGACCGGGCUUGCCCCGCCGCCCCGCCCUGGUAUGAUAACUUGGGCUCCUCCCCCUCGUCGUCCUCCUCCCCCUGCCGGUCGUAUCUCCGGGAACCGAGCGCAAGCCCUGCCUCCCGGACACACGACGCUCACGUAGUCAGGUGGCGGCGGCCUCCCCUGCCACCUCCCUGCAGGCACUCCGAUGCGGCGAGCCAGCUGGAGAGGGGGCUUCCCCACGGUCCAAAAGGGUUCUAGCCUAUUCCUCUAACCCAAUGAUGGCUGUGGACAUAGAGUACAGGUACAGCUGCAUGGCCCCUUCCCUGCGCAGGGAGAGAUUCGCCUUCAAGCCUUCGCCAAAGCCAAGCAAACCACUGAGGCCUUGCAUUCAGCUGAGCAGCAAGAACGAAGCCGGUGGAAUGGUGGCCCCCACCGUGCAGGAGAAGAAGGUGAAAAAGCGGGUGUCCUUCGCCGACAACCAAGGGCUGGCCCUGACAAUGGUCAAAGUGUUCUCGGAAUUUGAUGACCCGUUAGAUAUUCCAUUUAACAUCACUGAGCUCCUAGACAACAUUGUGAAUCUGACGACAGCAGAGAGCGAGAGCUUUGUUUUGGAUUUUUCACAGCCUUCCGCGGAUUACUUAGACUUUAGAAAUCGGCUUCAGACCGACCACGUAUGCCUUGAAAACUGUGUGCUGAAAGACAGAGCCAUCGCUGGGACAGUGAAGGUGCAGAACCUGGCGUUUGAGAAGACGGUGAAAAUACGGAUGACAUUUGACACUUGGAAAAGUUUCACAGACUUUCCCUGUUGGUAUGUGAAGGACACUUAUGCUGGGUCAGACCGGGACACGUUCUCCUUUGACAUCAGCUUACCUGAGAAAGUUCAGUCUUAUGAGAGGAUGGAGUUUGCCGUGUGCUUUGAGUGCCAUGGACAGACGUACUGGGACAGCAACAAAGGCAAAAACUAUAGGAUCAUCCGAGCUGAAUUGAAAUCCACUCAGGGAACAGAUGAGCCACAGAAUGGAUCAGAUUUUGGAAUAUCCUUUGACCAAUUUGGAAGCCCUCGCUGUUCCUACGGUCUGUUUCCUGAGUGGCCUAGUUAUUUAGGAUAUGAAAAGCUAGGGCCCUACUAUUAGUGACCGUGCAUGGUGGAGCCCGGCUAAAUGGGGACGAGGGGCCUUAGCUGCAGUCACAGGCAGGUGGAGACGGAAGCCUGGAGAACAGUUUGAACUGCCAUCAGGCACAGUUUUUGAAAAAGAAAGGAUCCUACUCACUUUUUUUCUGAAGCCAGCAAAAGCCAGCCAGGGUUAGCUCACAGAACUGGUUUCACCCCAGAAUAGAUGUGGGUUGCUGGUCUGCUUGGCACCUGGGGCGGCCAUGAGGGUCGGAGCAGGAGACCGGUGCCGGGAAGGGCCUGGGCGGACAGCAGCCCUCUGGGCAGUGCUGGUGAAACUGAAGGACAGUGGCUUUGAAAUGAUGCAACCCAGGAGCGUGAUCCGGCUGCCCGGAGAGUCUGCUCCUCCCCCCUGGGACGUGGAAAGUUGGUCACCUGAAAGUCACUCCAUGCCCAGCCACCUCCCACUGGACCCUUGCCGUUCAUCUUUGUGUGCUCUGCCCCCAGCUGGGUCCUCCAGCUUGUUGCUGCUGUUCACGUCCUUCACGCUUUAUCUCUGUGCUCUUUUUUUUUUUUUUUGCAUUUUAUUUUCUUCCGCAGCUCAUCUGAUGCCAAUGCCGAGGAAAAGAUAAGCAAGGGAAAUUAGCCUGUGACGGAGACAGGCAUUUCCUCUUUCUGACCCCACAGAGAGGCCAGCAGAGAACCACGCCCAGUUAGCAACGGUAACUGGCUGCUGUGUUAGGUCACAGACCGCAGGCCUGUGACAAGCAGGGCAAUCUGGGUGGGACGCUGGUAGCUUGUCCUCUUGGCUUUUGGGGGAGCUUUCGAAGGACUCGCUCUGGAGUCACCAGACGGCUCCGUUACAGGAUUUGUUGGAACUUGCUCUGCCGGUUUGCAGGCGCCUCAUUCUUCACAAAGGGAUUUUAGACUCUCCUUUCCUCGAGAGCCCUCCUUCCUGCUGUGUGCACGGCAUCCUGGUGUGCAGAUCCCAUCUAUCCUCAAAGCCUUCAGUGAGGGUUUGGCCUUACUUUGACCAUGAUCUGCUGCAUCCGGGACUCUUUCUGAGCACCCAGGGACUGUGAUCUGGGGCUGCUUAUUUACGGAGUGCAAGUACAUAAAGGGAUCAGGGAGAAAAACCUCACCAAGUUCUCAUGUUUUGUUUUCCGUGUUUGGCGACUCUGAAAUAUCAGAGGUGAAUUGUUCUUAACCAUGUUGGACUCCUGCAUUAACUGUCAUCGUUUCAUUCAGAACUCCUGGGACGUUCAUUGACAGGUGUAUCCCCAGACCCUGUGGGUUUUCUUGUGCAAGUUUGGUUUGUACUUGGGGCUGUUUAGAGAAUAUUUUUACGUAUGUAUUUGAAGAAGGUUGGGGUUUUUUCUGUUUUAUUUUUGUUCUUGAAGCUUAGUUAAAUGACUGUCUCCUUUUCCUUUUUGGAGUCGGCAAGCAAAGGGUGGUCUUUUGCCUGCGCGUUCCAGAUCAAUUACAAACCCCUCCUGGCUUCUGUGGCUUUGUCCAUUGGUGUCAGGCAGGUUUGGAGGGUCGUGGCUCCUCGAGUUUUGUGGUUGGGUUUUUUUUUUUUUCCUUUCUUUUUUGAACUUUAAAAUAUUUUGACUUUUGAAAUGUUCUCAAGUGGUGCGGUGGUUGAUAUUAAUUCUUGCUCCUAAAACUGGCUGUUACUGGUCUGCAACCCGGUGCUUUAUUUUGUACGCCUGUCCCAGGUGCGUGGGACUCGGGGAUUGCUUGAUAUAUGGGACAGUCACGUUUUUCCCUUGUGCUGACACUGGGCAGAACUGAGUUUUGGUCGAAGCGUACCCUACAUCAGGCGCACAGAGGCACUUUCAUAGCUACAGAUAUGGCGGUCAGUCCGGUUGAUAGUGCAAAUCAAAGUCGAGUGGAAGCAAACCUGAUUUGAUAGGGGUCGUGAAUAGAUUUUGUUUUAAGAAGUCCCGGGCCGCCUCCUUCAAGUCCAGAGAGGUACAGCGCCCACUGUCAUUUACAGGUUACCAGACUAGAGCUAACAAGAUCAUUCUCUAUGCAAAAGAAAAACGCCCAGGUAGUUCCUGUUUGUUUUUCAGUCAUGGCGAUCCUAAGACAUUCCAGGGUCAAAUUUGAAAUAUGGUAAUUCAGUGAUAAGUAUCUCUUAAAACAGCCAUACCCUCCCCCACCAUUCUUUACUCCCAGCUCACCCCAGCUUUUUUGCUGGGGGCACUGGUUGCAACCCCCUCUCUCCCCCCCUACACCUGGGAUGCUACCCCCCCCCCCCGCACCCCAGGCAAGUCCUCACCUGCUUGCAAAGACCCUCCUCUGACUAGAGAAUGUGGUUUCAAGACUUCCCUGUCAGUCAUUCUGUGAGCGAGGGGCCUCUGAACAAUACCGUCUUUAUUCAGCAGUCAGUCCGUCUCCCUCUGGCCCAGUUCUGUCCCAGGAUACCCACAGGUGGCCCCGGGACCCGCUUCAGCAGAACCUCUCCUUUUUUCAGAGCUCACUGUCAGUAAAUAGGUCCACAAACAGUGAUAAGUUUUAGUUGGAGAUGUCAUUGCAGCCGGACUUGGGGGCUCGACCCUCAGACAGGUCCUCAGACAGAUCUGUUAUGGUGAGCAUGUCCCUCAACCCCAGUGCCCUUCCCAGAUUGUCCCCAAAGGACCAGCCUCCUGCCCCUGGCAUUGCCCAGAAAUGGGGAACCAUCUCUGUUUCAUUUCCUAUUUAUUUCCCCCAAAUGCCCUGGGGAGCACUGGCAAAUUAGGUGCAAUAAAUAAGCUGGACUAUAGAAAGAUACAUAAUAAAUAAGCUUUCAAUGUUUCUUGGAAGGCAUGGAACAUUUGAAUGGUUUUCUUUUUCUUUUUCUUUUUGUAAGUAUUCUUAGGAUAGGGGAAGUGGUGAGAAAUAAUGGGAGUUAUGUAGUUCUCCAGAAAUUAAAACAAUUUCAGAGUCAAGGUAGAAUUUAUUUUUUCUCUAAGAUUUAAUUUUAAUGGUGGCAAAACAUUACUCUUUUCAACGUUUUUUUAAAGGUGUAAAUUGUGAACUGCUAAAAGAAUGUUUUUGUGGUUUUGAUCCCUGCAUAUAAUUUGCAUUUUAAAAACAAGCAUUACUUGUAGUCACUUGGAUGUUAAAUGGAUUGUAUAUUGUGCUUAUAAACCAAAAAGGUGUCAGCUCAUUUUUUACAAGUGCCCUGUUUUCUGGGCUCUUCCCUCUCCGUGGAGUGAACGUAAAACCUUGAUUAUCUUCCACUCACGUCCUUGUGUAAAAUUCCCCGCUGGGUGUGGGGCUCUCUGCUCUGGGGGCGCUGAUCACCGAUCAUCGAACUUGGGGAUAAAAGUCAUGAGCAUAAUGGGACCUUCCAGGGUCCAGGAGGACCAUUCUGGCAGCUUCUGUGCACUUCCUGACUGGGAAGGGCGGCUGCGGUUACACGCGCCUUCUCCUCGCCUCGGUGGUCAAGCUCCGCGACCCACGUUGUAAAGCCGUGAAUGUUUUUGCAGUUUGGGUGAUCAGUUCCCAGAAACUGCUGGACGCCUGAGGGCCCCAGGAGGGCAGCUGCGUUGCCCGCCUCACUUUUACUUCAGUGUGAAUGUAACACCAAAGGCUCGUCUUCAUUCGAUGCCUAAAAGUGCCUUGUCAUGAAACGUCCGCAUGUUUAAAAAAAAAAUACAUAUUUUUGUACACAAAGGGGAAAUGCACUUUAAAAUCACAAGAAUGGGUGUCUUUUGUGUGGUGUCAGAGAGUGGGUUGUCUGUAUCUCAAAUGCAAAAAUGUAAUAAAGGUAGAAAAAACAAAACUGAAACUUCUAUUUUAAAAGUGACUCUAUUCUGGGGGUUGGUCAGAGGCUGAGAAAUUUUUUUUAUCAUUUUCUUAUUUUUUUCUUUCUUUUUUGAAAGUAAGCGCUAUGCCCAAC